CCCUUAGAUGUUCUGGGCCGCACGCGCGCUACACUGACUGCUCCAACAAGUUACCUGGGCUGACAAGCAUCCGGGAAAUCUUGCAAAGGCAGUCGUGAUGGGGAUAGAUUCUUGUAAUUUUUGAUCUUCAACGAGGAAUUCCGAGUAAACGCAAGUCAUCAGCUUGCAUUGAUUACGUCCCUGCCCUUUGUACACACCGCCCGUCGCAUCUACCGAUUGAAUGGAGAGGCAAAAUCUUCGGACCGUGACGCUUGGGAGUCAAAUCUCGGGCUGUCGUGGGAAGUGGAUUAAACCUUUCUAUUUAGAGGAAGGUAAAGUCGUAACA
rnacentral:rRNA from 1 species